GUGUUUUAAAUAUUUUCUCGCCGAGUUGUCUCCAUCUGUUGGCAACUGACUUUGAUGCCUUGGCGUUCGUUGUCAAUUUUCUGCCGUUCGAUCUUUCGCGCCAACCGGAGACUCCCAACCAUCGUAAAUUUUCAACAAGAUGGCAGCACAAGUAUCACACCGGCUUUUGUUUGCUCAAGCCCAUCUUUCACCUCGCAAUUUUCAAACACACUCUCAAUUACGUUGCCCAAUUUAUUUUUCCAUCGAACCUCAACAACUUAAACAUAAUUAAUUAUACUCAUUUCGUACAAAAAAAAAAAUUUCCAAUCAUAAACAUCAAAUGACAACAGAGCUCUCGGACUUACUUUCGUCAUCUGGCUCAGCAAACUGACCCCAAGCGACCGGCAGUAAAUCUGGAGUCAAGAUCAAUUCGCAGAUUCCGCAGGAAACUAAAAGUGAAAAUGAAUCUCGUCAGGGAGACGAGUUAAUUAGUCAAUAAUCUCGUCUCAUCUCAUCUGCUUGGUAUACUUAAGUAUUUAUGGUAAAGUAUACUCUUGCAUUUAUCUCUUUGUUUUCAU